UUGUUCUUAUGAAGUUAGCGGCGGACGGGUGAGUAACACGUGGGUAACCUGCCCAUAAGACUGGGAUAACUCCGGGAAACCGGGGCUAAUACCGGAUAACAUUUUGAACCGCAGGGUUCGAAAUUGAAAGGCGGCUUCGGCUGUCACUUAUGGAUGGACCCGCGUCGCAAUAGCUAGUUGGUGAGGUAACGGCUCACCAAGGCGACGAUGCGUAACCAACCUGAGAGGGUGAUCGGACACACUGGGACUGAUACACGGCCCAGACUCCUACGGGAGGCAGGAAUAGGGAAUCUUCCGCAGUGGACGAAAGUCUGACGGAGCAACGCCGCGUGAGUGAUGAAGGCUUUCGGGUCGUAAAACUCUGUUGUUAGGGAAGAACAAGUGCUAGUUGAAUAAGCUGGCACCUUGACGGUACCUAACCAGAAAGCCACGGCUAACUACGUGCCAGCAGCCGCGGUAAUACGUAGGUGGCAAGCGUUAUCCGGAAUUAUUGGGCGUAAAGCGCGCGCAGGUGGUUUCUUAAGUCUGAUGUGAAAGCCCACGGCUCAACCGUGGAGGGUCAUUGGAAACUGGGAGACUUGAGUGCAGAAGAGGAAAGUGGAAUUCCAUGUGUAGCGGUGAAAUGCGUAGAGAUAUGGAGGAACACCCAGUGGCGAAGGCGACUUU
rnacentral:rRNA from 2 species